GAGCUUUCAAAAGCCGUCCACUAGCGUUGAGCCUUGGUACAUCGACUCAGACCGCUCAGAAGGUGGACUUUGAAGUGGUGAUCUGGAUGGAAACCUCGCUUGAUUCGCGGACGCUUCUUGGCUUUAUAGUGGGGGCGAUGUUUUCGUACGGAGCAGCGGCUCGAGCCGCCAGCGCGCACUGGGGAUGACGUUCCAGUACCCGUGCACUUGCUGCGUGCAGCGGAGCGAGGCUCACCGCAUUGAGGAACGCAGGUUCGUUGGCGGGUUCAUCAGUCUCAGUUAGGGUAUGGGUGUGUGCUUGUAGGUGUUUGGGGACUCGUGGCUGCGAGCGAUCGGUCUUGAACGCAGGCACCAGUCCGCGGUUGGGGUUUGUUCUGUGGGUGCAUAUUGCAGGGACUUGUGUGUGAUUGAACCUGCGCCUGAGCCACGAACAGCACGUGGCGGACAGGGUCCGUCACGUACCAGUAUUCGAUUUUGCGGAUCUAUGGCGCUGGGUUUUCGCUGCCCGCUGGUAGAAAGUAUGCAUAGGGCACUGAGCAGGCCCUGUGAGGACGUCGUAGGGUUGCAGGGCAACCAAACGCUGCCGGAUAUCCGGUUAGCGCACGGUCAUUGAUGCCACGCUUCACACCCAAGAACAUGAGUAGUCGGCUAUGAUAAGCAUGAGCCGCCAAGUAUGACGCGUGCACUUCUGGCAUCUGCACUCAAACCGAACGCUUCGUGCCAGACUCGGUGCGACAAGGACGUCGUUCGGGGGAUCUUCAGCGCGUACGCGGACGUGGCUUUCGAGGCACCUGAACUCAAGGUUACCCGUCGAGGCCUUUGGUAUUGCUGCCUCGCUCGCUUCCACGUCGUUGAUCACGUACCCGAAUAGAAAAAGGACGAGAGGGCUCUACAGAGGUGUGCUCAGGACGCACAAAUGCCUUGAAUGGACUUGGAGCAGCAGCAAACGUCGGAAACGUCGCUGACUCCAUGACGUUCCCAUUGGACUCGGUGCUCCACGAUGACUUUCGAAACAAGCAAUUGGAAUGCUGUUGAGAAAUAGGCACUGAACUAUCAGCCAGUCUGCCAUGUAUAUGCCAGAACAAAAUGGGAUAGUUUCUCCAACUUGAGCGCACAUGCUUUAGUGAGCGUAUCUUCCGAGAGUCAUCAACACCAGCCUUUCGGGCCUUUUCUCGACACUGCUUGCUUUUCGACGUCAAAGACACUCACACACACACACACACUGAUCCCCGGCUUUCAAGACGCUGGUCUCACAUGUGACUCCAGCUGUUUGUCAGCUGUCGCAGGAUGUUGAUGGCAGCGUCCAAGUCGCGUUUGUGUCGCUUCCGGCAGUUGUCGAUGCACGUCAUGCCCUCAAACAAGGCGCGAUCUACGAUUCGCUUCUCAUUCUCAUAUUUUUUGAAUACAGCCUCGGUGCGCGCUGCACAGCUGUGACACUUGACGGUGGUCAAGUCUUGCCAUAUGUUCAUCACACCGCAGCCUACGAGGACCACCCUGUGGCGCGAAAAAGCCUGCACCAGUGCUCGAUACAUUCACUGUACGGCUGCAGAAGGAUGCACUCAAUGCUCUGGUCUGUAUCCAGGUCCUGUAGCGUACCUUAAUGUCAUGAGCUUCUUCUUUGCGAUCCCGUUGGCGGGUAUGCUCUCCGAUACAAUCAACGAUCUCUAGAAAAGAAUCUCGUCCAUGAUGAGAAAAAGAAUCGGAAGAAAACUCUUCGCUGGAGAACCAGUCAGGGUAAUGUCGAUCCGUCUGCGAUCCCAUUCUGCAAAGCGGUGACGCAUGCUCCACUGGGAGCGAUCGCCGCGAUGACGAAACCCCUAGUCGAAGACGCUCUUCCACACAUGUAGAAGAGACAGGAACCUUUGAGACCAUUUGCUGUUAGCGGUUUCAUGAAGUUAUCGAGUAACAGUUCGUGGAUGGGCGCAAAGUUUGAAUAAUUUGUCUUCCAAACACGCUAUCGACGACCUGACGUGACAAGUUCAGAGAAGUUUUGCGCAUGAGCUUGUAAACAAGUCGCCAAGGGACAACAUCGAGAGCUUUUAUCGUCGACCAUUCGCUUGCGCGCUUAGCCACACCCACGAGUUUUCUUGAAACCGAAAGAUCCACAACUCAAACAACGCAUGCUUUGAGCGUGCUCCACAUAUGGAAAGGAGGACAUGAUACCCGGCUUGUACGAAUAAACUAGAUCA
rnacentral:misc_RNA from 1 species